AAAAAAGACACACCUUAUUAUUGGAAUUGGACUUUCCUUUGUUCCUACUCCUGAUUUUGACUUAUUUGAAUAGAUCAAGGAUUUCCAUUUAUUGGGUAGAAAAUUGGCACUCUUAUUUCAAGAAGAAAUCUGAUAGAGAAACCAGAAACUUGGGCCUAGACCCAUCCGACUACCAACGCUUGCUAGAUUUGGUUUCUCUAUUGGAUGAACAGGAUAGCCCUGAUCCCAAAACCAAUUUAAAACCGACAAGCCCUGAUCCCAGAACCAAUUUAAAACCGACAAGCCCUGAUCCCAGAACCAAUUUAAAACCGACAAGCACAUUCAC